GGAUCUAAAUACGCUGUUGUGCAGCCCUUGGACUGGAACUGAGACUGUGCACUGCACAGAAUAAACAUCAGCCAAAAGGAGUUUAGUACCUAAGUGCCUCCAAGUACCCUGGAUUUCCAGGGGAUAACAACAACCGCACACAAGCAGCUCUGUUUGAGCACCGUCACAGAAACUUCAGGGGCCUCUUCUAGUGAAUGCAUUUACAAAUGACAUGCUCCAAGUCCAGAUUUGAUCUCUUGGCUUCUGAAGCUACCAAUUGCUGUAAUGCAGUGAUAAUUCUGAGCUGGUCACGAGGCUAACACAGUGGGAGCAGUACGGGAACAGGGCAGGGCUGUAGUUUGGGUCGAGCCCUAAAUAUCUUUAAGCCUUGCAGCUGUGUCUGUUCUGUAAGUCCAGGAGCAGAGUAAAGGAGCCUGCACUAAGUGUUGCUCCAAGUGCUUAGGCUUCUUGCUCCUCCUAGCACCGUGGUGUGAUGCUGCCCUGGGCAGCAGAGGCACCUGGCUGCUCCUGCCGACAGCAGCUAACGAGCGACAAGGUGACGAGGGUCAGCGGCAGCAAAUGCAAGGGCAGGGCUCCCAGCAGGCAGGGGCAUGAACCCGAAUCAAGGUCAAGAGAGUGCCUUGGUGUCACAGCUUAUUCUGCUCAUCUUAUUCGUGGAAAAGCUGUGCUUAAUGUUGAAGUGAUUAAAGAAUAAUUUAGCUUGAUGCGGAAGCAUCAUUCAACAAAAACAAAGGCAGUUUAGCUAAAAUUGGUUUGAAAAUGCUCAUUAAUUAAGCUCAUGUAAAUCUGCGUAGAUGUGGGCUUGCUAACACUCUUUUCCCCCCUCUUCUUAUCUAAAUGUGACUAAUUAUUUGUCUAAUUAUGAUGUAAUUGUGUGGCCUUGGGAUCACUGAUUACAGAUGCGCUUCCUUUUCUCCCUGCUUUGUCUGAAUCCAAGCGGAAGAUGGGAUGCUCUGCUGGGAUGUGCUGCUGCUCCUUUUGGCUGCAGUCUUGACCUUAAAAAAAAGAGAAGAAAAAAGCAGAAAGCUGCUCCCUUUUCGUCACAGCCUCUAUAAUGAAUUGCCGUGUACAAAGCCGGUCAUACAAUACGCAGCAGCAGCACGGAGCGAGAAUCUUUGGGAAGAGUUUCCAUAGAAACACUGACGUCCUCCUGGCGAACAGGACACCGAGUUCCUUCAAUGGGAGAGUCUGCGGUGGCCGGCAGAGUCCCCCAGAGGAGACAGCAGAGCUGGUGAGUAAUAAGGAUAACUGAUGUUUUUCCAAGUCAAAACCAGCCUGACUCACCACUAUUUUGUUUCUUUUAUUGUUAUUUGUAUUGCUCUGAUGCCAGACAUCAGAUCUCAGUUAUUGAGCCCAGAGUUUUAUCGCUGUAUAACAGGAGAAAGUGCCCUCUGAAAUGCUUCCAGACUAAAUCAGUAGGAGGGGAAAAAAGGAAAAGCAAAACAGCUCUCGCACUGCUGCCCUGUGAUUUGGGCCUAAAAACCCUCUUCUGCCCUGCUCCUGAGCAAGCACCCUCACUUACCCAUUGUGGCAUAUUUUUCAGCUGGCUUUGCAAACACUUAGGUUUGUAAGUCAUUGAUGCUGUGCAGUUUUCCAAAUCAGAGACCUGCUCAGAGCCCAUGUCCCUGGACCCCUGGUGCUCUAGCACUCGCUGCCUGCAGGGGCUGCUCAUAGCAGCACCAUUCUACCGAGGUCUUGGUCUGAGGGCACCUGAGACUGAAGCAUGGCUGCAGAAAAGGAGCAGAAGGUAGAUCCACCACAGACAGAGCUCUGGCCCUGCUGUCCUACAGCAAGUGGCACAGCCUUGGACAGCCACUGCCUGUCCUCUGUUAGGUGAGGUCAGUGUUCCUGGGCAGGGAUGCCAUGAACAUGUCUCUCUGGGGCUGGUAUAUAACAUGGAAAUGUCUCUCUCAAGCCAGUGUCUAGCAUGGGAUAAGCAUCAGGCUGUCUGUGAUAUCCAUCAGCCUCUUGAGGUUUUUGUGACACCCCAGGUGUUACCAUUGCAGGGAGCAGUCAUGCUCACUAUUGCAUCUGUCAAAGCAGAAGACAUCUAUCUAUACCUUGAAAGUCUUCAUCCUUACCCCUAGGAUUUUAAUAAAAUAUAAGGCCCUGCAUCUGGUAGCAUCAAUAGAAGCAGAACUAUUCCCAGAUACAGACAGAGAAAUACGUGUACAAACAGAGGGAACCUAGAUGUAAGAGAGACAAAAGCUGGCUGGAAGAUCAAUGCAGGAAAGAUUUGUGAAAGGUCUGGGCUUUAAUGGGAUGAGUAGGAUGGGACUUGGCAUACAUCAAAGCUAUUAGGAGCAACACAGAAAAACUUGAGAUUUGGACAGUGAGAAGAGGCAGAGGACAGCUGGAAGAGGAGGCUGGGAGGACAGCAUGUGGAGGAGGCUGUUUUAGCUUGUGUGCACCACUGGAAGAGUGAAGGCAGCUGCAAAGCCUGGUCAAAUGUUGGAAGAAGACAAUGUAUAUAUGAGAGCAAGAGAACAGGGUCGCCCAGCAGCAGGGCAGGAGGCAGGGCAAGGUGGUGUUUUGGCCAAUCUCAGCUUGCGUCUUGGCUUGGGAAAGCAUGCCUGGCAUUUUUGUCAGCGGUGUCUCUUGAAAUAAAUCACCACCCGCUCUGGAGACUUGUGCCUGUGUCUUGAGACAAUUAUUGCUUUCUUCUAGCCUGGGCUGUGUAAAAAUGCAUUGCUUCUCGUUGUGAGAAAUUCUCAUCUCCUUCUGUCAGUCAUCUUGUCUCAGCAGGGAAAAAAAUCCCCAAACCCUGUCAUAUCAGAAAAUGAGAAAAUUAUCAAUAUCUACAGUGUAUGUGAAAAAUAUGAGCUCUUUCUCUAUUUGGGAGAAUGGAUCUCGGUUGUAAAAUGUUAUAAAUGUUAGCAGCUUCUCAGACAUUCAAAAAUGUUAAUGAUCCUAUGGUACGAAAAUAGCUUGCCAUAGAGUUCUCUAUAUUACAAAUACUGUCUUGCCCGCUGCAGCCACCUAAAAGACUAUCCAGGAUGAAUGGCCCUAUGUGUUGCUUUAUGUAUUCAGAAAGCAGAGUCAGGAUUAGGACGUUCAUGCAGACACAACAGGCUCUGAUGACUGCCUGCAUAUCUGGAGUGAGGAUCGAGCUUCGGUGCCUGCGAUCAGGUUAAUAAAUACUAUCGCCUUCCUCCCCCUGAGCGUAGGAAUAAAAACCACCUGACAACAGCUGUAUCUCUGAAUUGGAGCCCGUCAGUGGAGGAAAUCUCUGCUUCAGCCAGCUCCCCAUGAGGAACCUGGGGCAGCUCCUUCCCCGCUUCAGGCUGCCAGCUCGGCGGGCACAGCUCGCCUCCUUUGGGUGCCCGCAGCUCCUGCCUACGUGCACCUCCGGCGGCUCUGCAGGACCGCGGCUCUGAGUCACAUCCCCAGGCAUGCAGAGGAGUGGUUUAAUUCUAUUCCAAACCCAAAUUUAUUAGCGCUACCUGGAAUCACAGGUUUGAGUCUUGGCACCUGCGAAGGCGGCUGGCUUGAGGCCUGUGUGGAGGAACCUUCGCUGCUUCUACGGCACUCCUGUGGUAGGGCUCACAAUUAUAUUUGAAUUUGUUCUGCUUUUUCCUUUUCAAAUAUUUGUCCCUUUUGCUUUUGUGAGCCAUCGAUUGUUUUGUUUCCCCACCAGAUUAGUUUAUUCCUCUCACUGGAAGCUUUGGGCUUUUGCAGCUGAAUAGAACCCGGGAGACCUGAGCGUGAGGACUGAAGACAGAGCACAACACAAAAAGGGCAGCGGGUGCUCAGCAGACACCACAAACCACUUAAAACGUCUUUUGUUUAUUAGCUAUUGUUCGGUUAAAUAUAGCACCUGCAGCUGGAACAAUAGGCAGUGGCAGAGGACGGGCUUUGUGUGCACAGGGACUAUCACCGGGCGCCGAGGCGAGGCCUCAGCGCAUUAGGCCGCAGGCAGAGUGCAGCGGAUUUGCCUGGAAAGCCCCCGUAAUGCCAUUAUAAGCGGCCCAUUAGCAGAGCUACCGAGGAGACUGCAUAAACGAUGUCUAUCUCGUUGCUGCGAGCCUGCGGCGGGGAAGGUUUAUUUAACCAAUUUGGCACAGGGAAGGUGGACGUUGGUGGGGCCCUGGAGCCAUGGGAUGGCGGAUGGUGCUGGGGGAGAUGGGUCCAAGGCACCCAAAUGGGCCACCCACUCCUCUUCCUCCCCUUCCUCCCAUGGUGGUCCCUGAGGAGAGGCUUUCCCCCUGCAGAUCCAUCCCCACACGGCCUGAUAUAUCCCCAUCCCAUCCCAGCUGGUGUUGUGUUGCGUUGUGCCUGCCCUGCUCCUGGGCUUCCUGCGGCACAAAAACAGGGCGUUUUCAGACACUUAAGCAUGUGUUUCCUCAAAACUUGUGGUGGGACUCUAAAGGGAGCUACUGUGCGCAUGAAGCCAUCCAAAGCUUUUCGGAUUCCCCAGCUGAAUGAAAUGUGAAUGUGGGUUUUGUUGUUGUUGUGUUGUUUUUCUUUUUCCGCCAUUAAUUUCCUCUGUUCCGAAGCAGAACUGAGCUUUCUGAUAUAAUUAGCCUUCCUUUCCCAAAGAAAUAUAAUGGUUUUGAAAAAUUGCCUGCAUUUUAUACACCCAACAUCUGGAUUUGGUAAAAAUUCUGAAACUUCUUUAACGCUACUUGCGGUCUAGAGGAAGGGAGGGCGAUAUUUAGUUGAUGAUCUUUGCCCUCGUUUUUAAGAAAAAAAAAAAACAAGCCAUCAAUUCAGCUGCUGGCAAUUGAAAAAGCAGUUAGGCUGAACUCUCUUUUAAGUGAACAAACACUUAACGGAUCUAUUUAUACCUGCCCUGAAGCAGACUACUGUAGGUGGAAAUGCUGUAAUUAUUUCCUUUCCCUGCUUUCUACUGUCCUAUAAAGAUCUCCUGGAGCAGCUUGUUAACAAGUUACUGCUGUACAUGGGUGAAAUUAAAAUCAAACCCAGGUUAACAACAAAACCAAUUUGCCUAAAAAUGACUAGAACUAGCUGUAACAAAGGUGAGACAUGCUUGAAGGCUGCUAAGAGACAGCUUCUGUUGCUUAGCCCCAUCUAUCUAAGAAGGCUGAGAACUACAAAUGAUAAGUGUUUGGCAGUUGAGGGGGGACCGGGACCUGAUUAGUAGUGAUGAGGGGAUGCAACAAUUCUUUUUUCCCCCGUGUUUUUUUUUUUCCCAUCAGUGCAUAUUUUCAAUUAAAUUUCCCUCCCAAGGAGUCCCUCUCCUUGAUUAUCUUCCUGCUUUUCUCCCUUCUCCUAUUCCCUGGGUUUAUUUCCAGAGGAGAUGAUCUCUUCCAUUCACCGCCCAGGUUAACUCUAGUUUCAGCAGCAAGGAUCGUUUAAGCUACAAAAAGCUUUUACUGAGUCCAUGUUACAGCCUGGGAGUUGUAAGGGAGUUGUAACCCAGGAGUGUCUGGUCACCAGACAGCAUCUCCAGCUGCCUCUGGGCUGGCGUGUCGGGGCUGCGUGCAUUCCUGUACUCUCAGUACGAUGGCCCCAAGCCAUUAUGCUUCAUAUCAAGUCAGGAGGGUCACGGACUAGAUUACAGCUGGUUAUGGUCCAGGUGGGAGGUGCCGAUGAAACAGGGGGAAAAAAAAUCGUUAACGCUCAGCAUGGCAGCCUGUUCCGUGAAGUAAUUUUUAAUCUGGAAAAUGAAUGGAAAAUGAAGUUGUUGUUUUUUAAGUGCCCAUAGAUUUUUAGCACUCUGUGUUGCUAUGGGUUAUUAGGAAUGGCUAGUGGUAAUAUUUACUAUUGUCUUCUGUGAUUACAGAGUCCAAAUUAUUCAGUUAUAUGAAAUAAGCUCUAUACUGUUUAGAACUAUGAAGGGUUGCCUUUUAGUUCAAGCAACAAGAAAUGAUGCUUCUGGAGCAAGGGGAUGGCUGUGCUGCAAGUCCUGCUGCUACAAAUUUCUGCCCCCCUUGAGGCACAAGGGGACAGGAUCUGUGAGUUACAAACAGACGGUGCAUCUCUAAGAGCCUGAAUAGAGCUGGAUGUGCUGAGUGCCUUAGUGACACCCUAAAUGUGUAACAGCAUCGCUCCUUUGGGAAGAUGGCAGGCUGCUGGGAGGAAGGAACCAUGAGUUGGCUGUGGGGAGGGCAGCAGCGAGUCCCCAAGGAGGGAGUCCUAGCAGAGAUAUCAAAAUCCUCACUAUGCCUCAAAAACAAAUAGACUGUCUUGAUAGCAGGAGAUGCACAAAAAAAAAAAAAAAAAAAAAAAAAGGUAGCGAUUCAGUGAAUUUUUACUGCAGUGUAUUUUGGAAGAUUUGCCAGAUGGCUGGCAGCAAGACUUUUAAACUCUGACUUCUUUUCUGAGCCAGCCAUAUUAUCAUCCAUCAGACAGUCACUUUGGACUGACAUUGCAGAGUGUGGCUGUCUCCUUUAGGUUUGCCUUGCUCCUGUUUAUUUCUAGCUGAUUUAUUUAUAUCUGGAACUGAUACAAGUGGCACAAUUUCUUUGUUUCAUUAAAAGAUUCCUUGAUCUAAACUUUAAAAGAUUUGUCUACAGAGAGAUCAAAGUCAACCAAGCGUAUGUUUUGCAUCCCUGAGUUUUUCUGACAUUCCAGUCUUCAGGUAAAUCUGGAAAAGACAUUUUGCUGCAGAGUAGUAAGCGGUGUUGAUGAGGUUAAUGCAGAGCUGAUCACCGAAUUGUUGCGUACUAAUGUGUGCCUCUUGUCCAGGCUUCUUAAUUAUUAUUUUCUAAGAGGUGAAACAGUGUUGACAGAGCUUAAACUAUCAAACAUUUGUCAAGGUAAAACUGAGAGCCAAAUGCAAGCAUGGAAAAUUACAUCCCACUGCCCAGCAACUCACAAUCAAGCACGUAAAAUACGAUUUGCACAGCUGAACGGAGGCAUUGUCAGGGUGCUCACCAAGGAGCCGAGCACUCCUGAACUUGAUCUGCCACAACCUGUGGCUUACUCCUGGGAAAAUUGCAUGCAGCUCAUUCUCUAUAAGAAGCUACUAAUCCUGGAUACCUCAUUUAUUAAUUUUUGGCUGUGAAUCUCAGCCCCUCCACAUCCCCUGAUUUCUAGACCAGCCAGAGGUGGCAGCUGCCACCAGGACAGAGCUGUCUCGCUCCCUGCUGUUGCUGGAGGGCCAGUGGAAACCUUUUCCUCCCAGCUAGCUCAACUUCUCCAUCAAUUAGCGGGUCUCAAGCAUGCGUUUCUGCCCCGUUGCCUGUUACCUGCUAGUGCCAUUGAAAGGAAAGGGUGUUUGUGGAUGCUUUGAAGAUGUAAAGCUCUAUAGGAUUGCUGCACAUUGUUGUGGAUUGUUUGGGUAUGUCCUGGAUAUGAAUCACCUUGCUCUUUCUGACCUACUGUCCUAAUUGAGCUUCGUGUAUUCUUCAGGCACUCGUCACUGUCUGUGCCCUACCUUUUGGCAAUAAAGCAGCAGCCUGGAGCUGCAGGUGUUUGCCUCGCUCCCUCAUUCCGUGACAAAUUAAAGGAGAUUUAGUAAAUGGAUGUGCUGAAUCAUGGAUCCUCCCCAAACAUGACCCUGGAUCGCUGCCCCUUUGUUUUGCUGUUGUCCGCAGUGGGGUCAGGCUAGGACAUGGCUUUCCCGUCGGCUAUGUGAAUUUUACUGCUCUGCAUGUUCCAGUAAAAUCAAAGGCCUGAGAAAGGGAUUCUGUGGAAGCUUUUUUUUGUCAGUGACUUUACCCUCGUUAGUUAUCAUUUAGAGCACGAGCCUUGGGGCAGCACCAGCACAGUUCCUCCUGUCUGAUUAUGGGGGCACUACUGCUUCUUCAAAUACCUCCACAGCCAGGUGGAUCAGAAACACAAGCUGCUUCUGCCCUGCUCCUCCAGCACGUUUAGGCUGGAGACCCUGACCCUGACCCUGACCACCUUAUAUUUUCUAUAUAUUGAAGGGGGAAACCACCUGCCUGCUCCGAGUCCCCUGUAGUGAGACACAGCCUGGUCACAACCCUUUGAAGAACUUCUACCCCAGGGCUUAUCUUCACUGCAAAAUUAGCUCAGGCUUCCAGCCAAGGGUGCCCCAGCCUCCCAGCUCUGCCCUCUCCAAGCAGCGCAAUGGAAAAUUGCCGUCAAGCGACCCACCAGUGGCUGCAGAUUACGGUUUAAACGCUGCUCAUGCUGGAGUCGCUGGCGUGGCUGCAGUGGUACAGACGUCAGCCCGUGCUGCUCCACGCUGUGCGGCCCCUGGCCCUCUCUUGAGACCCUCUGUGAUGCUCAGCUUGCCACCUGGUGCUGUCCCGGUUCUGCUGUCCCCGCUCGGCUGACAGCUGGGCAGGCUGGUGCCAAACGCUUAGCAGGAAAGGUCUGGGUGGGAACACUGAGCUUGAGCACCUGGUGUCUUCCCUUUUGAGAAUAAGCUUCUUGUAAGAGAGGGCUGUCCAAGGUGGCCUGGGCUGGGAGCACCAACCUGGGGGAGCCAUGGGCGCUUUAUUUUUUGCUGCUUAUUUUGAAGGUUUCAGACCAUCUUUUUUUCUAUUCAAUUUUUUUUUUCAUUUUUCUCUCUUUUUUUUUUUCCUUCUGUCCUUUAAUUCUUUGUGUUUUGCAAUAAUACAGCACUGUUAUGCAUUGACCAGAAGAGAUCAGAUCCUUGAUUCUGGCCCUGUUCUAGAUCAGUUCUGAAUUUCGCAUUCUCUGUGCAUAUUUGUAGUGCUUUUUACAAUGAAUUUUACUCUUUUACUUUGGGGGCUCAUUGGUAUCAGGAAACACAAUUCAACUGAGCCUCUUUUUACUCUGUGGAAGGAAGUCCUUGAAGAAAGGUUGAUCCAACUUAGAAGAGAACUUGUAGGUAGUAGACGCCCAGUCUCUGGGUGUGAAGGAACAAUCACGUUAUUAUCUUUCUGUCAUUGGAGAUAAACGAGAUCUAUUCUUCUGGGGGUGAGGCAGGCGUGAUUGAUCACUAGAUAAUAAAAGCUACAGUUCCUGGUUAAGGAACAAGGUUGGGCUGUGCAGCUACGAGUGCUUGUGGAGAACCUAAGCUUGAGGUGUGUGCCCAAGUUGCUCUUCAUUUCUGAGCUAUUACCUGAUACUAAACAAGUCCUAUAUAUAAAGUAAAAUUUCAACCUUUUCCAUAUGUGAUUUUCAGUGGCUACUAACGAAAUACCUCAGUCAGCAAGAAAGAUGUUCGUAGUUAGAUGAAAGCUCAACCAAACCCUGCCACCUCUGUCACUGCUUCCACUCCUGGGUCCUUCAGCUCAGGGCUGGUGUCACCUGCAAAUCCCCCCAGGUGGGAUUGCUGGCUAAUGAUUGUCAUUAUUCCAAUUAUUUAGGUCGUGGCCCUUCUUCCACUCCCUCUUUUCACUACCUGAGUGGUGGAGUCAGAAGAGAGAUGACCCAAAGGCACAGGUUCUGGUUUGUCGCAUUGCACGGAGCUCUUAGCCUAGGGUUCACUGCUGGCAUUGCAUCGCUCCGUUCUGGAAUUGCUUCUUAAAAUCAUUCUUCUUUCACUUCAGUGCAGAAACCAAAAAACAUUCAGUUUUUAAGGAUAAUCACACACUGAUACCUCCAAAAGAAGUUUUGCAGUAUGAAGCCGUUUUCAAGAAAAUAGAUCUCCAUUUAAAAUACUUGGGGCUGUGUUUGCUUGCUUGUGUUUGCAGGUGCUUUUAUUCAAAUGGUCUGCUAUGAGCAUGUAUGUAAAGCGAUAUAGCCCCAGAUUUGACUGAAAUGAAGUUGUGAGAAUUUAUGGAAAAACACUUUGUGAGAAAACAUUCACAGCUAUGUAGCCUUAGAAACUAGCGAGGUAAGAAUUGGAGUUUGAAGAGCGGCUAUGAAUAUGGAGAGCCAGGAGAUGGAAAAAUCACAAGGGAGGAACUGCACCAGCCGGGAUGAAAGAUGAGAGCUUCAGCAGAAAACUGAUGAAGGUAACGGAGCAGGGGAAAGAUGUCCUGUGACAGCGGAUGGAUUUGUAGCAUCCAGCCCCAAUUGGAGCAUGAAACAUAAGCUUGCUUGGAGUGGAGUGGAGAAAAAUCAAUCAGAAGAUUUCACAUGUGAUUGUGAGACUAUAGAGAGCUCCAAGACACCCUGGAACACUGCACCAUUUACCCUAAUCGGAGGGUGAGUCAGCACUCAAUUAUGUGCAGGCAAUUUUAUAUUCAGUUUUCUAUGCGUUGGCGACAAAGCAAUUUAGAUAAUAUGGUCGUAUAGCAGAAUCACCUUCUUUACAAGUCUGAGUUACAUUAGCUGAAAUAAAAAGUAUGUCACUGCUCAUUUUCCAGUGUAUAAGAUAAUCAUCAUGUGGGAUCAAGAAGAAAUCUCUUCUUCCCAUUGCCAAAGCAACAUAAUUGUGCAACACGGCUGGUUUCUCUCUUCUGAAGUAUAAGUUAUGGCUACUCUUGAGACUAGACAGAUCCACCACUGUGUGCAGAUACUGUCUGAAGUCUUGCACAGUAAUAAGAGCACAAGAUAUAAUAACUCCUACUGGUUUGUGUACUCAAGGGAAAACAUUCUGUUGUAAUGAAGUGGGUUGUGUAUCUGAAGGUAUGUAAGGACUGCUCACUCUGUCCAUCACAUGUCAAAGACCUGUGAUCUGGGAAAUAGAAGGAUCUGUGUUCUCUCCCUGCCACAGCCUUAUUGGAAUAUAAAGUCACAAGAGUAAUGUCCUGGGAGAUUUCAAGAUGUGGCUCCAGGUUUGCACAAUGUUUUGCCAUCGGUUCAGGAAAGAUGUUAUGCUAAUCUGACCUUUUUCUUCAUCUUUAAGGCACGUAUUAUAUUAUUUUGGAGCAAUUAUACCCUUAGGAACCAAAGGUUGGAGAGGAAAUGAGUGAUUUACUAUGCUUUUAAUCAAUGAUUUAAACUGGAUGAUUGUUUCAAUGCCACUGACGGAUUCAAAUCUUCUGUGAGCUACUCCUUACAUGAACUAGAUGCAUGAACUGCAUUAAAAAGCACUUUGUGCAUCCCAGGAGCAAACACUGAGCUGGAAUCUUCAUUCCAUUUCAUUGUUCCUGUUGCCAUAACUCCAUAGACUUUAAUGUGAGUUGAGCAAGGGUCAGAUAUGGAGCAUAAUGAACUCAAAGAGAGAUUUCCAUUGGAUUUUUUUUCCUGUGGAUAAUACCCUUAAAGACUCAGGGUCAAACAUUCAUCUGUGAUAAGCUGGCAUCUCUGUCCAGCUAGCACUCUGUGUCUGUACUGUACUUCAGGCACCUGAAAUUUCCUUUCCCUUCCCGUCCCCCACUCAUUCUGUUCUUCAGAUUGGUUUUCUGAGCUCAGCAUUCUCUAAGUACGAGUGCAUUUUAGCUGUCAUGGUCAAGUUUACCCACAAAUGCUUUUUUUGUCUAUUAAUUUAUUGGACAGAAAAGACCAAUGAUGCAUAGAGAAGUAUCUAAACUUAUGUUCAGAUCUUGAAAGCAUUCUGCUUAGAAACCAGCAUGUGUUCAGAGCAACUCGGUUUCUGUUCCUCUCAAAAGAAGCACCCUCGGUUUUUUUAAUUAAUGUGAAGAUAGCUUCCAGUGAUCUUCCUCUAUCCAUCACGAUAUUGACAUUUGAACUCCUUUUACUUUGAAGUCACCAUCACUCAGAUUGUCACAGCUUGACAGCACAGUCGGUUAACUCGGCACUUCCCAAAUUAAUGCUCUCAGAUUCAGUAUCAAUACAUGGGACAUUUGGCUUUCUUACAUGUGAAAUUCUGCAUGUCAUCUAGUAGUCAGUGACUAAACUCUCAAAGUCCUGGGCCGUGCAUAAAGCACUGUUACUGACAGCAGCAGGAUUGUGGAAAGGUAUCAGAAACCCAGUUAGGGGCCACAUGCUCCAGAAGCACAGAUUGUUUCAUUUAUGCUUAUCACAUAAAAGCUUAAAAUACGGAUGGUUUCCUACAGAGAUGUAUUAUUCUUGGUUGCCCUAAAUUCGUAGUCAAGAACCAGGUGAGAUCUUCUAGCGAUGUUAAAAUUAUAUCUUGUUCUGGACUUUAUGGCAAUAACCGAGGCAUCAGCACUUAGGGAAAGGCGACUUUCUCCGGAGCAAUAUUACAAGAGCAGUUCUUUCACGGACCAGUAAGCACUGCCUCUCUCAAAGAUGACUUGGGAUAGGAGACAAAAAUAGCUGUAGGUCUUUUUUGCUUCCUUAUUGCUUCCAUAUGACAAAUGGAUCAUGUGAGAAACGUUGGCACAAAAAGCAAUCCUUCCCUCCCUUCUCAUUCAAGAUGUGCCUACCUUGUUUUCUUGAAAGGCUAGAGAACAGUAAGGGGUUGAUCACAUCCUUGCUAAGCCAAAAAAAUAAAAAAAUAAAAAUCAUGGCUGGGAGAGCCAAAGGGUGAGAAUUUGGAGCAAUGGUUUAGCAGGUACAUCAGGGCUAGCAAGGAGGGGUUGUAUUGGCUGGAUCUUGGCCUCAAUAAAUACGAGUUUCCAUUUAUUUCCAAGAGUCUCCCCUGGGCAUUCUCCGUCAUAUUUUUUUACCCUAAGAGAUGAUAAUCUGAAUGUCAAAAAUUAGCAGAGCCUCUGUGUUUAUCAGGCAUUUGUGGUAAACAGACGCCGCUCCGUUACUCCUCCUUGCAGUUUAAGCAGCAAUUUCCUUAUUUUCAUAUAUUUAAUAUAGUCCUCAGUUUUUCAUAUUUAGCAUCUCCUUUUUCACAUUUAGUAUCUCUCAGUUAAAAAGAUUGACUAGUUUUCCUGGAUUUAGCCUCUCAAGAAAUAGAUUUAGCAGUUUUCCUGGAAAAUGCUAAGUAAGCAAAAUUCUUCACUAAGGUCUUAAUGAAACCUGCCUUCAGAAGAGACUUUUCAAGCUGCUUUCAUCUGUCAGAAAUUAAAAGGGCAAAAAAUCAGUCUUUUAUCUCCAGUGUUUACUUUUGAUCCCCAUAAAAUAAUUACGGUGAGCUGUCCUUACAGCUUAACGAGCAGCUUUCUGUCUCUAAAACUGUUCAUGAAUGGCUGGUGGUAACAAGCAGGGUGAAGCAUCUGAAGCUGAUUAACUGAGAAGUUAGAUGGCUAUCAGCUAGGACAGACCUAACCUCAUAAUUUUAUCUGUUAGCAGAUACUGCAGAACUGAUUGACAUUAAACUGGCAGCAUCCCAACGCAAAGGUGAACUCGAGGAAAAAAUUAUAUCGGAUUUUAAUAAAACUUUCCUCAAAGGUCAACCUCUCUAAAGUAUAAAAUCAAUUUUUCUUCCUUCCUUCUUUUUAAGGCUGUUUUCUCAUAACUACAGAAAAUUCUGAUACUCAUGAAAUAUUUCCCAUUGCCUUUUUCCCAUAACGGUAUCUAUCUGCUUGUGAUCAUUCUUUUUCUCAGUAUUUUUAUUUAGAUUCACUAUUCCCCAUUUCUCUCCUUGUACCUGGCCUUAUCAGGAUCUGUUCCCCUUUCUCAAAACAUCACUUAUCAGGUCCCUGGUCAACAACAGAUCUUGCCUCAUAGCAGCUUCAGGAUGCAAAACCUUCUCACUUCAUCCUUGAAGAUGGCUGAAACUUUGGGAAGAGCAAAGUUUUGGUGCAAAGUCUUUAUUAAAGCAUGCCAGGCUUCUCCUGGUUUUAUUUUUUCCUUCUUACCCAGCAGCUGCCUUCUGUGUCUUGCUCGGGACUCCAGUAACUUUUGCCAAGUAAGCCACACGAGCACCAUGCCACUUAGGAAAGAAGGAUGUCCUUGUGAGCCCCAUGCUUCUGCGGGUCACUCCCCUUUGCUUUUAUUGGCCCAGAAAAAUAAUAUGUGUUGUCUUUUUCUUUUCUAUUUCAAGCACAAUCACUAAUAUCUAAGAAAGUACCAGCUUAGAAGUAUUUUAUUUUUUAGAGUGUGCUGACUGCACAGAGCGGGAGGUACCCAAAUUUUGUUUCUUCAUCCUUGGCAUAUAAGUUCCAGCGCUUGAUAGCCAAAUUUUUAAAGUCUUGGCAUACCAGAGCCAGUAACAUCACAUACUUUAAAAGCAAAGGAACUUCUGGUGUGCAUGUAUGGCUGUGCCCACCCAUUUGGGCUGCAUUGGGCUGCAUCUCUUGAGAAUUGGUACCUGGGUCUUUGGGGCUUCCAGGAGUGCUCCAGUGGGGUGCAACAUCCCUCGGUGAUGCUGGGUGAUGUCUCGCAGUCCCAGCUGUUACCAUAGCACUUCCCUCCUUCCACUUCAAAGGCUCUUUCUCCCCCUCUGUGGUAGGAUUAAUGAUACAAGACCAACAGACAUUUAUCUAACCGACAGGUUUGCCUCCCGCCAGCUCUUCCCUGCGUGCUCCCGCAGCCCCAGCACACAAAUCCCAUUUCUCCAAAUUCCGCAGCCCCCUGCACUACGGAACAAGUCCGGGCACAGCUGGGGCUGCUGCGGAGCCAGGCAGCAGUUUGCAGCAAGUCCUUGUUUGCCCUGGGGUAGGAGUCUGCAAACAGGAGUUAUCAAACACACAUCCUGCCAUGUGCACGCCACUUGGCACCGCUGCUCUUGGUCGGAGGUGACUGUUUGCCCCCUUUGCGUUAUUAGAGAGGAGCUUGGGGCUCCCCUAGGGGAUGUCCUGGCUUGGCUGCUGCUGGGCCAAUGCCCCUCGAACUUCUCGGUUUUGGCUGAUUUCUCCUCUUCUUGGUUAUUCUUUACUCCAUCAAAACAACGUUACAGCCAAGCUAAUUUUGUGGUUCCCAACUGAAAAAUCCUUGUGGUCAGAGAGCUCCCAAAGCCGGGUAACGUCUGCUAUGCAUGUGCACGCACUGUAACGUGUAUUUAUGGAGAAAUUACUGCUUAGGCUGGUGAAGUGAAAUGUAAGAGAAUCCACGCUACAUGUCAAAAUUGUUAAAAAUAGAUACAUGCUGGAGAUCAGCCCAGAUUGGGUGCUCACACUGGUAGACGACGGAGAAAAGGGACAUGCAUUACAAUCAGCAAAUGGAUAAAACUGGGCUAGAUAGGGAUGAAUACAAGGCGAAAAGCUUUGCACUUUUUAAAAACCAAAGCCCAGGCUCUCAUGCUAAAAGAAGAAUUGUAUUCCUAAAUAGGAAAAUGUUAAAAAAGAGACUGGACUAUAUUCAGGAACAUACGUUACAAAGCUUUAUGUCUGUUGUGGGGAUACACAUCAUAUAUUCUGUAGGGGUCAACAACAUUCAUUUAGUAGAGAGGGUGAAAAGGACCAAGUCGGGCAAUGAGUAUUCUGAGCCUUGCUUGCUGCUUCUCUUAAAUUCUUGUCCAUGUUGACAAAGGUUAUUAAACUUUUUUCCUGGAUAUUUUAAGCUCCUUUAAAUAACUUGUAAGCUUAAAAAAACCUGUAUGUCAGUUUUAGAUAAUGUAUUGAUCGAUAUAUAACUCUGGUUUAGAUUUUAGAAGAUGCUAUCAGUUGUUUCAGUAACCUUGGCUUUCUAGUUUAGACUGCAGGGACCUAGACUGUCAAAAUUGUAGCUCAGUUCCUGGUGCUGUGGUAAGACAGCCAUUGCAGGAUAUGGCUGUGUGCAAAGAUGAGAUCAAAACCCUUCUAGUUUAAUAUAGGUUAAGAGAGUCUCCGUACUUCCAAUCUCGCUCUUGCCUCCUUGCAAUGCUCUGAAAUACUUCCGCUGAUUUGUUUUGCUGAGGAGAGAAAUUGUCAAGCUUUGCCAGGAAAAAAUAGGAAUAUAUAUAUAUAUAUGUUUAAGAUUAAUCUCGCAGUUGAAUAGUAUCGGCAACCUGAGUCAAAUUUUGCUGCUGGAGUUGUGAUUUUGUAUCGAUUGCGUUUUUAAAGAUUUUUCUAGCAGGGAGAGGCAGACAUUUUGUUAUUGCUGUGUAUUAAUCAAAAGGGCUGAAAAAUAUUGCAGGCCUUACUCUCACAUCUUUGUGGACCAAAAAGACAGUUGCAUUUGUAAGAAUACAAGUCAUCCUGGAUUAGACUCAGCUUUGAAGUGCUAGUAAUUUAACACUACUACAGUUUGGCACCUACUUUUGAUGUGUGCUGUGUGCAAGACAAUGAUCACUGCAGUUUAAAAGUCAGAAUUUGCUUUUUCAGACCAAUGAGGAUAAACCGAAACUUUCCUUGGACCCCUAGAAGGGGACUUGAUGCUUGCUGACCUACAGAGCUUAUUUUUAGGGCAAUUACCUGUCUUCAACAUUUAACAUAAUAUUUUUUCAAUAGCACGCAAUUUUAGCAUUGUCUGCAUUAGAAGCUUCUUUUUUACAUAAGCCAUAGAAAAGUACCUCACCAUUUUUGCAGCUUUACGGGAUCUCACAGCAGUCUUGAUUACACACGUAUUAGCUUUGUAUUUUUAAUUCAGCUCCUAAUGUUUCUCAUGCAGCGUUAAAGCCAUUCAACAGAAAGUUUCUGCUUUUACAACCGCUCAUUUUGUAGCAACUCAGCAGCACAGUUAGUCGGUUGGUAAAGCUACUUACUAAAGCUCCCCUGAAAACAUCGAUCUCCCAGGUUGUGCAGUUUUUCCCACUUCAAAGGGAAAUCCGCUGCUGCUGCCUCAGUUAGCGCAGAACUGAGCAAAGUAACAUGUUGAACUGUUUACGGAAACAGCUGAUGUUAUCUGCCAAUUUGUUCAAUGUUUGCCGUACCGGUGAGAUUUCUAAUUUUAUAAAAAAAAAAUGCAUUUGUCUUUUCAACCGUUCCGGUAGUUAUUUCACCCUCUUAACUUUUGUGGUAGAAGUAAUGACAACUUGUUCAGAGCGAGAAAUCCCAGACUCUCUGGACCUGGCUCCCUGGCUGUGCUGCAGCGACUCUCGCUCGUCUCCACUUCGCCAGGGCUUGGAAUUUUCUCAUCACCACACCAGUUUCCAAUUUGGGGAGCAUGGCGAUGACAUAUGGCCCCAUUCGCUUUGAAGGUGCAGGCAACCCUUCACAGCGAAGAAAAGCGUGAAGUAUUGGGACAAAAAAAAAAAAGCGACUAUUUUGAGCCUGAAUUAUGAUUUUCACAUUGUUUGCAAUACUGCAAUCAAUCCUAGUAACACCCAUAUUGAUGCAUCUGAAUAAAAACUAUGUUUUGCAACGGG